rnacentral:lncRNA from 1 species
UUUUUGAAAACAAUUUUUUUUUUUUUAAGAGAUGGUAGCAUGCAUGCUACCCGCUUUAUGUAUUUUAUUUAGAAAUAAACUUAGCUGAAAAUAUGAAUCAACUAGAAUUCGAACUUGGGACUUCGGAUACCAACCACCAAGUCUUUUGCCACUUGCGCUAGGGACGGUCGGUAAAUGAAUUCAGGUUGACGGAUUUUUCGAUAAUUUUGGACCAAAAAAUAUGAGAGAAAAAAUAAUCUGUUCUGAAUACGCUAUGAAUCCCUUCUUUCCUUAAUUUGAUAAGCCCCACUUCACCAAAAUUUUUUUUUUGUCCCGACUCGUUACUAAUGGAUCAGUAAUAAGCAACGAUCAAAAAUAUAAUACAAACUAACUCGUCUCA